CACACUCUAAAUUUUUUUUUUCCACUCUUUUCUUUCAAGGAUAAAGUGAAAAUAUAAUUUUAUCAUUUUAUUAACAUAUUAUUUUAGAAAUUUUAAAGAGAUUAAACUAAUAUAAUUACAUUAACAAUAAAUAAAAUUAUAUUGGGUUACAAUAAUAAUUAUAUUAAUUAAAUACAAAUCUAUAUAUAUAACUAGCGUAUUUAAAUUUGUCUCGUAAAUAUUAUUAUCCACAUGACCGCUAAAUUUGUUCAAAUAUUAAGGCAUAUGGCUAGAAAGGGAUGGGCAUUCACCACAACCAUCGUAACCACCAUAUACCUGUGGAAGUGGACAACAAUUAUUUAUUUCAUUAAUCUCAAUACGAAGUAUAUCAUGAUGAAAUGAUAAAAUUGUUGAACCCUAUUGAUCUCGACCAAAUCAGAGUUGCCUAGAAAUUAGUGCAAUGAACCAUAUUAUCCAACUUAUCUUACAUCAUCAUUCCUCAUAUCAAAUACAUUAUGUAAGAUAUUGAUUUCAACUUCAUUUGUAUCAAUUGAGAUAAAAAGGAUUCGAUUUUUCAACCAUGCUAGUUUCACUCGGCUCCUAUUGAAAUUAAUCCUCUUAACAGAGAAUGUGUUCAACAAUGCAAAAUACUACUCACGAAUUGACUAAAUUUUCUCAUGAUACCACAAAUCUUGAUGCCUUUGACUUUUGAUCUAAUUAUGAUUUUAAUUCUUUUAUUAUAUUGAAAUUUAAUAUUUAAUCUAUCUAUUUAAAUUUUGACAUAAAUUUUUUAUUUUUAUUUUAUAUAAUAUUAAAUAUGAAGAGAGAUUUACUUGCAUUAAUGUAUAACUUAUAGUUUGACACAAUUUCAUAGCUUAUUCUUGUAAUACCCCAUACCCGUACCUGAGACCGGGAUAGGAUACGAGGCAUUACCGAGAUUUUCAGAAUAAUUUCAAUUAAUUUUCUUAUUUACUAUUCAUUUUCAUGUUUCAUGUAACAUCCUUUUCAUAUAUUGUAACGGCCUAAUUUUCAGUAGUGUCGGAAAUGGUAAUUUGAGAUAACUAAAUUCGACAAAUAAGAUUGAACAAGAUAGUAAUUUAAUAUUUAUGAGUCAAGUAAGAAUUUAGAAGAAUUUGUGAAAUGGUGAAAUUAGUGAAUUAAAAGAAUUUAUUAGGUCAAACGGGUCAAAAAUGAGGUAUCGAGACCUCAAAGUUGAAAAUCGAGCUAUAAAUAUUUUUAUAAAUAUUUAUGGAGUUUCAUUGAGUUAGUAUUAAAGUUUCGUUAGAAAAUUUUAACGUUUGGAUGGCUAAUUAAUUAAAAAGGACUAAAUUGAAAAUAGCGCAAAAUUUGUUAAAUUGUGAGUAAAUAGCUUAAGUAUUUAAAAAUAUGGAUUUAAAGAGCAAUUAGACCCAAAGGUUAAUGGCUGGACGGUUUGGGUAUGAAAUAAGCAAGAAAACAAUGUGAACAAGGGGCAAAAUUGAAAAUAGCAUAAAAGUUAUUAGUUAAAUAAUGAUGUAAUUGAAAAAUCUAGACAUUUCUUCAUAUUUUCUCAGCCAAAACGCCAUAGAAGGUCUGGAGAAAGCUGGUUUUUCAUAUUUUUACAUCAUGUGAGUUUAAUUCUUACUUUUCUUGAUAAUUUUUAUGUUUUUAUGACUUUUACAAUUAGGUCCACUUGUAGAAUUCAUUAGUUUUUGAUUUUAUGGGCGAAAUUGGAAGUUACCCUGGAUGGAUAAGGGAAUCUUAUGAUGAAUUAUUAUGAAAUUUAAGUUCUAAUUUCAUAUUAAGGUGGUUUUAUUAAGUGAUUUUGAUAGGAAAUGAUAUUUAGGACCUAUGUGAAAAAGUUGUGAAUUGAAGGUUUCUGUUGAAAUUAAGAAUAUAGAAGGUUUUGAAAUAGUUUAUAAUGAUAAAAAAAAGUGUUAAUUGAGAAAAAUUAGUUCAAUUGAUGGGUGACUUGAGCAGGGACUAAAUUGUGAAAACUGUAAAUUUUGGGGUAAAAGUGCAAUUUUGAAAUUUGAACAGCAUAAAUUGUGAAGUGAAAUAGAAUUGAAAUGGAUGCUAAUGAAGGAAUGAUUUUAUAAUUAUAGAUCAAGAAAACGAACUGAAUCGUGGAAAGGAGAAAAUUCAAGAAUAGUCCCUGAAUUUCUAUGACUUUUGCAAAUUAGUCCAGGUAAGUUCAUAUGGCAAAGUUCAAUGUUUUGAUAUGAAAAUAUUAUGAUUGUUAAAGUAUUUUAUUGUUGAUGAAUACUAUCAAUUUGCAUUAACUAAUGAAUAAUGUGUAACUAAAAGUACAAAUUAGUAGGAACAAUGGAUUUGAGUGCUUCUAUUCUGUGACCCUGAUGAAUUGACGAAAAAUAUGUGAUAAGUGUGCCCGUUUAAGACCAUAGCUGGGCUAUGGCAUCGGUGCAAUGUGACUCCGUAUAAGACCAUAGCUGGGCUAUGGCAUCGGUAUAAUGUGAUAAUGUGAUUCCGUAUAAGACCAUGUCUGGGAUAUGGCUUCGGUAUGAUAUGUGAACCGUGUAAGACCAUGGCAAGGCUAUGGCUUCGGUGUGUGAUGCGUAACAAUGUGAAAGUCCAUAGUUUACUAUGGCAAUGUGAUAAUGAAGCACUCAAUUCCCUUAUUGUUCCCUAAUUUGACAAUGAAGUAAAUGAGAAAUGGGCCUAAGGGAGUUAAAUUGUGAGUAGCCAUAUGGAAAUUAUUCCAAUGAGUUAUUAAUGAAAUUGUGAUUUGGAGGAUGAAAUAGUUAAACUAAUAGAUAUAUGAUUGUGUACGAUAUUUGAUAUGAUUUGUGUUUAUAUGCCUAUGAGCUUACUAAGCUUCAAUAAGCUUACUUGUGUGUGUUUAAUAUUUUUAUGUAGAUUGACUUGAAGUGAAGUGGGUAGAUCGGAUCAACACAACAGGGCACACUAUUCAGAUCAAUUCUGGUAGUUUUUGUUUUAUGUUUAAAGAUUUAUAUGGCAUGUAUAGAGUUUGAAUGAAUUGAAGUAAAGAUGUUAUGAACUAGUUAACAAUAUUUGUACUAAAACAGUUUUGGUAAGUAGCAGUAGUUUGACUUUGAAAAUUCACCAUAAAUUGUGGAAAUUGAUUUAAGGGCUGAGAAAAAAUGAGAUUAAAGCCUAAUUAGUCUAGUUUCAUAUAGAGGAAACGGUGCAUGCAAUUGGAUUUUAUGUUAUGAGAUAUUUAAAUUGUUGUGAGACAGAGUCUGAAUGACUUCGAGUUCCCUUGUUCUAAUUUGUAAAAAUCAUUAAAAAUUUUAAAAAAAUAAUUAUGAGUCAUACUAUAUAUGUAUGGAUUCCUUGUUGGGUCUAUUUUUAAGAGAAACAAACGGGAUGAUCAUUCGAAUUUUUUACAGAGAGAAAUUUGGUUCGUAGUGCAUAGGGGUCAAAGUAGCCAAACCCUGAAAUAGGGGAGAAUUUAACUAAUAACUGUACUAAUUGGACCAACCAAAAAUUAUAUAAAAAAAUUGGUAAGUAUAUAUAUGAGUCUAAAUUCGGGGAAAUUUUACGGAUUUGGAUUUCGAGUUUUAUAACUCGAGAUAUGAUUUUUUUAGCAACUAUGACGCAGUUGGACAGCUUGUCUGAAAAGUAUGAUAUAAAUUAUCUGAAUUUGAUUAAGUGCUCAAAUAAGUUUAGUAGUGCCUUGUGCUCGACUCCGACGACGGUCUCGGGUAAGGGGCGUUACAUUUAUUGGUAUCAGAGCUUCGGUUUAGCCGAUUCUCGGAAUAUGUAUGAUGUGAAAAGUGUCUAGAAUUACAUGCCAUAUAAAUCUGUGAUAGUGUGCUGUGUAUGAUCCGAUCUAAUCCUUGUUUUUAUUAUAGAUUAUCUUCGAUUUGAAAAGAUGUCAGAUAGACCAGAACAAACUGAGCAAGAAGAAGUUAAUAGCAGAGUACAAACCUCUGAACAAGGAACAAGUAGUGAAGCUCCGAUUUCAUUGAUGCGAGAACAAGAACUCAAAAAUAUGAUUUAUGGAUUCAUGAAUCAGUGGUAUAAUGAGAAUGUGCGAGAAAGAAAUCAGACUACACAACCUCCUCCCCCUAUCUCAACAUCUGUAGUACCCCCGGUUGUUCCUCCACCUCCUCCGACAACUGAAUCUUGCAAACGUUCUCUAUUUGAAAAGCUCAGAAAACAUGGGGCUGAAGAAUUUCGGGGAAGAACAGAUGAUGACCCCGUUAAAGCUGAAUAUUGGUUACAAAGUAUAAUGAGGGUUUUUAAGCAAAUGGCGUGCUCACCAGAUGAUUACUUAAUAUGUGCCGUGUCAUUAUUGAAAGAAGAAGCUUAUAACUGGUGGGAAACAAUAGAAGCUGUUGUACCGGCUGAGAAGAUCACUUGGGAAUUUUUUCAAAAUGAAUUUAAGAAGAAAUAUGUCGGUAGAAGAUAUCUAGAUAAGAAGAAAAGAGAAUUUCUCGACUUGCGACAGGGAAACAAGUCAGUGGCUGAAUAUGAAAGAGAAUUUGUUUAUCUGAGCAAAUAUGCUCGAGAUAUAGUACCCACAGAAGAAGAAAUGUGUAUCAGAUUUGAAGAAGGGCUUAAUGAUGAGAUUAAAAUGAUGAUAGGGGGCAUUGAGAUACGAGAAUUUGUUGUUCUAUCAGAUCGUGCUCAGAAGCUUGAAGAAGUAUAUAAUAAAAAGAUGCAACGAGAUAGAAGAAGUAAAGAAUCUUUCAAAAGAAGUGCAUCUAAGUCAUUUUCGGCUUUACCAGUGAAGAAAUCUAAAGAGGAAUUCAGUCGAGCCACUUCAGUACCAGAAAGAUCAGGAAAAAGUAGGCCAAGACAAUCUGAUUACAAAGCAUCUGACAGACCUGCUGUUAGUGUGGGUAGUGUACAAAAUACCCAAAGGCCUAAGUGUCAACAUGGUGGAAGAAGUCACCCCGGUGAAUGUAGAAGUAAGUUAGGGGCUUGUUAUAAAUGUGGGGCCACUGAUCACUUUAUCCGUGAUUGUCCCCAAUUACAAGUAGAAGAAGUGGAACAGAGGGAGAAACAGAAAAUUCUUCCUCAAAAAGGAAGACGCUCUGGUCAGAGCAGUGCUACAGGGGCUACUCGUUCGGGUAUGAAAGAUACUGCUAGCCGAUCAGAAGUUAGGGCUCCUGCUCGUACUUAUGCCAUUCGAGCGAGAGAAGAAGCAACAACUCCAGAUGUAAUUACUGGUACUUUCUAUCUUUAUGAUGUUCCUGUGUAUGCUUUAAUAGACCCUGGGUCUACUCAUUCAUAUAUUUGCACUAUGUUAGCAUCUGAAAAGAACUUAUUUGUUGAGCCUACUGAUUAUGAUGUACAAGUUACAAAUCCGUUAGGUCAAAGUGUGGUAGUUAAUUUAAUAUGUCAUAACUGUCCACUGAAAGUUAAGGGCUGUGAUUUCCCCGCUGAUUUGAUGCUGCUACCCUUUCGUGAAUUUGAUAUUAUCUUGGGCAUGGACUGGUUAAUGAAACAUGACGCGGUAGUGAAUUGUCGAGAAAAACAAAUUAGCUUGAAAUGUCAAACAGGAGAUAUUGUUUUGGUUGAGUCUGGGAAUUUGGAUGACAUGGUUAGAAUGAUUUCCUUUAUGUCUGCUCAGAAAUUGUUGCGUAAAGGAAAUGAGGCUUAUUUAGCCUAUAUUCUUGAUACUCGAAGUUCUAAAUCAAAGUUAGAGCAACUAUCUGUUGUAUAUGAAUUCAUGGAUGUAUUUCCUGAAGAAUUACCAGGUUUACCACCCGAUAGAGAAGUUGAGUUCGUGAUAGAUGUGCUUCCAGGAACAGCUCCCAUAUCAGUGACACCGUAUAGAAUGGCUCCAGCAGAAUUAAGAGAGUUAAAAGCGCAGUUGCAAGAACUGUUAGACAAAGGGUUUAUCAGACCGAGUAUGUCACCAUGGGGUGCACCUGUCUUAUUUGUGAAAAAGAAGGAUGGUUCAUUGAGGCUGUGCAUAGAUUACAGGCAGCUGAAUAAGGUAACAAUUAAAAAUAAAUAUCCUUUGCCUCGUAUUGAUGAUUUAUUCGAUCAGCUUAAUGAUGCUACAGUGUUUUCAAAAAUAGAUCUCAGAUCUGGGUAUUAUCAGUUAAAGGUAAAGGAAUGUGAUGUACCGAAAACAGCUUUUAAAACUCGGUAUGGUCAUUAUGAGUUCUUAGUUAUGCCAUUCGGUUUGACAAAUGCUCCUGCUGCUUUUAUGGAUUUAAUGAAUCAAAUUUUCCAGUCUUACCUGGAUAGAUUUGUGGUUGUGUUUAUUGACGAUAUACUGAUCUAUUCAAAGACAGAAUCCGAGCAUGCUCAGCACUUGAGAAUUGUACUACAGAUAUUAAGGGAAAAACAGUUAUAUGCAAAAUUUAGUAAAUGUGAAUUUUGGCUUCAUGAAGUGGGAUUCUUGGGUCACAUUGUGUCAGUUGAUGGUAUACGGGUAGAUCCGAGUAAGGUGUCAGCGGUGAUUAAUUGGAACACUCCAAAGAAUGUUACGGAAGUGCGAAGUUUCCUUGGAUUAGCUGGUUACUAUCGUCGAUUUGUGAAAGAGUUUUCACUGAUUGCUUCACCGAUAACUAAAUUAUUACAGAAGAAUGUUGAGUUUGUAUGGUCUGAUGAGUGCCAACAAAGUUUUGAUCAAUUAAAGAAAAUGUUGACAGAGGCUCCGGUGUUAACUCAGCCUGAAUCAGGUGUGCCAUAUGUAGUAUAUAGUGAUGCGACUCUGAAUGGUUUAGGUUGUGUAUUGAUGCAGUCAGGAAAAGUUGUAGCAUAUGCUUCUCGACAAUUGAAGCCACAUGAGAGGAACUACCCUACACAUGAUCUUGAAUUAGCUGCCAUAGUAUUUGCUUUAAAAAUUUGGAGACACUACCUAUAUGGAGAGAAAUGUUAUGUGUAUACAGGCCAUAAAAGUUUGAAAUAUUUAAUGUCGCAGAAAGAGCUGAAUUUGAGACAGAGGCGAUGGUUAGAGCUGUUGAAAGAUUACGAUCUUAUCAUUGAUUAUCAUCCGGGUAAGGCAAAUGUAGUGGCAGAUGCACUUAGUUGGAAAUCAUCAUUAUUUGCUCUUCGGGCGUUAAAUGCUCAUUUGUCUGUUAAUGAAAAUGGUUCUAUAUUAGCUGAAUUAAAGACAAAACCAAUAUUCUUUCAACGAAUUCGGGAAUUGCAAGAUGAAGAUCCGAAGUUGGUGUUAAAACGACAAAUGGUUCGGGAUAAUUUGAACUUAGAUUACUCUAUUGAUAAUAGUGGUAUGUUAUACCAUCGUAAUAAAAUUUGUGUCCCGAAUAAUCUAGAAUUGAAGAAGGAUAUCUUAUCAGAGGCUCAUAGUAGUAUGUACUCGAUUCAUCCGGGUAGUACGAAGAUGUAUUGUGAUUUGAAAAAAAUGUAUUGGUGGCCUGGUAUGAAACGGGAACUUUGUGAAUUUGUGGCAAAAUGUUUAAUCUGUCAACAGGUAACAGCUGAACAUCAAGUGCCUACAGGUUUGUUACAACCCGUAAUGAUUCCAUAAUGGAAGUGGGAACAUGUGACGAUGGAUUUUGUAUCUGGAUUGCCAGUGACUCCGAAGAAAAAAGAUUCGAUUUGGGUGAUAGUAGACAGAUUCACUAAAUCGGCGUAUUUUAUUCCGGUCAGAACAGAUUUUUCACUUGAUAAGUUAGCGGAAUUAUAUGUGUCAGAAAUUGUGAGAUUACAUGGGGUGCCGACAUCAAUUAUUUCUGAUCGAGAUCUGAGGUUUACUUCGAGAUUUUGGAAUAAACUACAGGAAGCUUUAGGUACUAAGUUAAAAUUUAGUACAGCUUUUCACCCUCAGACAGAUGGACAAUCAGAGCGAGUGAUUCAGAUUUUCGAAGAUAUGUUAAGGUGUUGUAUACUCGAGUUCAGUGGCAGUUGGGAAAGGUACUUACCUUUAGCUGAAUUUGCUUAUAAUAACAGUUAUCAAGCUAAUAUCAAAAUGGCACCGUUUGAAGCUCUGUAUGGAAGGAAGUGCAGAACCCCGUUGUAGUGGUCAGAAUUAAGUGAAUCGAAAUUAGUCGGAGUGGAUUUAAUUCGGGAAACUGAAGAGAAAGUUCAGAUUAUUCGGGAAAGUUUGAAAGCUGCUUCCGAUCGUCAAAAGUCGUAUGCAGAUUUGAAAAGAAGAGAUAUAGAGUUCAAUGUGGGUGAUCGUGUGUUCUUGAAAGUUUCUCUGUGGAAAAAAGUUUUACGGUUUGGUAGAAAAGGAAAGCUUAGUCCACGAUUUAUCGGACCAUACGAAAUCAUUGAGAGGAUCGAUCCGGUAGCUUAUAGAUUGGCCUUGCCUCCAGAACUUGAGAAGAUCCAUAAUGUAUUUCAUGUAUCUAUGUUGAGACGAUAUAGAUCAGACCCUUCACAUGUGAUUCCUCAUAUUGAGAUAGAGCUACAAUCAGAUAUGACUUAUUCGGAGGAACCAGUGAAAAUAUUAGCUCGAGAAGUUAAAGAACUACGGAAAAAACGAGUACCGUUAGUAAAAGUGUUAUGGCAUCGACAUGGAUUGGAGGAGGCAACCUGGGAAACAAAGGAGUCAAUGAGAUCACAGUAUCCAAAUCUGUUUUCAGGUAACAAAUUUCGAGGACGAAAUUUUUAAAGGGGGGGAGAGUUGUAACGGCCUAAUUUUCAGUGGUGUCGGAAAUGGUGAUUUGAGAUCACUAAAUUCGACAAAUAAGAUUGAACAAGAUAGUAAUUUAAUAUUUAUGAGUCAAGUAAGAAUUUAGAAGAAUUUGUGAAAUGGUGAAAUUAGUGAAUUAAAAGAAUUUAUUAGGUCAAACGGGUCAAAAAUGGGGUAUCGAGACCUCAAAGUUAAAAAUCGAGCUAUAAAUAUUUUUAUAAAUAUUUAUGGAGUGUCAUUGAGUUAGUAUUAAAGUUUCGUUAGAAAAUUUUAACGUUUGGAUGGCUAAUUAAUUAAAAAGGACUAAAUUGAAAAUAGCGCAAAAAUUUGUUAAAUUGUGAGUAAAUAGCUUAAGUAUUUAAAAAUAUGGAUUUAAAGAGCAAUUAGACCCAAAGGUUAAUAGAUGGACGGUUUGGGUAUGAAAUAAGCAAGAAAACAAUGUGAACAAGGGGCAAAAUUGGAAAUAGCAUAAAAGUUAAUAGUUAAAUAAUGAUGUAAUUGAAAAAUCUAGACAUUUCUUCAUAUUUUCUCAGCCAAAACGCCAUAGAAGGUCUGGAGAAAGCUGGUUUUUCAUAUUUUAACAUCAUGUGAGUUUAAUUCUUACUUUUCUUGAUAAUUUUUAUGUUUUUAUGACUUUUACAAUUAGGUCCACUUGUAGAAUUCAUUAGUUUUUGAUUUUAUGGGUGAAAUUGGAAGUUACCCUGGAUGGAUAAGGGAAUUUUAUGAUGAAUUAUUAUUAAAUUUAAGUUCUAAUUUCAUAUUAAGGUGGUUUUAUUAAGUGAUUUUGAUAGGAAAUGAUAUUUAGGACCUAAUUGUGAAAAAGUUGUGAAUUGAAGGUUUCUGUUGAAAUUAAUAAUAUAAAAGGUUUUGAAAUAGUUUAUAAUGAUAAAAUAAAGUGUUAAUUGAGAAAAAUUAGUUCAAUUGAUGGGUGAAUUGAGCAGGGACUAAAUUGUGAAAACUGUAAAUUUUGGGGUAAAAGUGCAAUUUCAAAAUUUGAACAGCACAAAUUGUGAAGUGAAAUAGAAUUGAAAUGGAUGCUAAUGAAGGAAUGAUUUUAUAAUUAUAGAUCAAGAAAAUGAACUGAAUCGUGGAAAGGAGAAAAUUCAAGAAUAGUCUCUGAAUUUCUACGACUUUUGCAAAUUAGUCCAGGUAAGUUCAUAUGGCAAAGUUCAAUGUUUUGAUAUGAAAAUCUUAUGAUUGUUAAAGUAUUUUAUUGUUGAUGAAUACUAUCAAUUUUGCAUUAACUAAUGAAUAAUGUGUAACUAAAAGUACAAAUUAGUAGGAACAAUGGAUUUGAGUGCUUCUAUUCUGUGACCCUGAUGAAUUGACGAAAAAUAUGUGAUAAGUGUGCCCGUUUAAGACCAUAGCUGGGCUAUGGCAUCGGUGCAAUGUGACUCCGUAUAAGACCAUAGCUGGGCUAUGGCAUCGGUAUAAUGUGAUAAUGUGAUUCCGUAUAAGACCAUGUCUGGGAUAUGGCUUCGGUAUGAUAUGUGAACCGUGUAAGACCAUGGCAAGGCUAUGGCUUCGGUGUGUGAUGCGUAACAAUGUGAAAGUCCAUAGUUUACUAUGGCAAUGUGAUAAUGAAGCACUCAAUUCCCUUAUUGUUCCCUAAUUUGACAAUGAAGUAAAUGAGAAAUGGGCCUAAGGGAGUUAAAUUGUGAGUAGCCAUAUGGAAAUUAUUCCAAUGAGUUAUUAAUGAAAUUGUGAUUUGGAGGAUGAAAUAGUUAAACUAAUAGAUAUAUGAUUGUGUACGAUAUUUGAUAUGAUUUGUGUUUAUAUGCCUAUGAGCUUACUAAGCUUCAAUAAGCUUACUUGUGUGUGUUUAAUAUUUUUAUGUAGAUUGACUUGAAGUGAAGUGGGUAGAUCGGAUCAACACAACAGGGCACACUAUUCAGAUCAAUUCUGGUAGUUUUUGUUUUAUGUUUAAAGAUUUAUAUGGCAUGUAUAGAGUUUGAAUGAAUUGAAGUAAAGAUGUUAUGAACUAGUUAACAAUAUUUGUACUAAAACAGUUUUUGUAAGUAGCAGUAGUUUGACUUUGAAAAUUCACCAUAAAUUGUGGAAAUUGAGUUAAGGGCUGGAAAAAAAUGAGAUUAAAGCCUAAUGAGUCUAGUUUCAUAUAGAGGAAACGGUGCAUGCAAUUGGAUUUUAUGUUAUGAGAUAUUUAAAUUGUGGUGAGACAGAGUCUGAAUGACUUCGAGUUCCCCUGUUCUGAUUUUAGAAAAUCAUUAAAAAUUGCAAAAAAUUAAUUAUGAGUCAUAUUGUAUAUGUAUGGAUUCCUCAUUGGGUCUAUUUUUAAGAGAAACAAACGGCAUGGUUAUUUGAAUUUUGUACAGAGAGAAAUUUGGUUCGUAGUGCACAGGGGUCAAAGUAGCCAAACCCUGAAACAGGGGAGGAUUUAACUAAUAAACUGUACUAAUUGGACCAACCAAAAAUUGUAAAAAAAAAUUGGUAAGUAGAUAUAUGAGUAUAAAUUCGGGGAAAAUUUACGGAUUUGGGUUUCGAGUUUUAUAACUCGAGAUAUGAAUUAUUUAACAACUAUGAUGCAGUUGGACAGCUUGUCUGAAAAGUAUGAUAUAAAUUAUCUAAAUUUGGUUAAGUGCUCAAAUAAGUUUAGUAGUGCCUUGUGCUCGACUCCGGCAACGGUCUCGGGUAAGGGGCGUUACAUAUAUUCAAUUCAAAAUAUCAUAUAAAAUACGAUACAAUACUUAAAUUGUCAUAUUUACAAUGCUUAUUCAGGAUAUAAGAACCUACCUGACUAAAUUGCAGAAAUGCCAAGAUUUAGGGGCAUAUUGGUAAUUUACUAUUUUCCCAAAUUUCACCCAAUCUUAAAUUGAUAAUUUCAUUGCAUAUAUUAAUUCAGAUAAUAAAACAAUUCAUUCCUUUCAAUUUAGUCAUUUUCGACAUUUUUACAAAAUUACCCAUAAAGUUUUACUUUUAUUCAAUUUAGUCCUUGAGACAAAAACAUACCAAUUAGCCAUGCUAGCUGAAUAUUCAUACAUAUUUUUCCUCCUCCUCCUCUCCAUUCCACAUCCUUAGUAUAAACAACACACUUGUAGGUAACAUUAUCCAUAAUUUUCACUAUCUACUUAUGUGAAUAUUCAAGCUGUCCAUCUGUGUCAUAGUCACUAAAUUAUUUUUAUCUUGAGAUACAGAACUCCAAAUUAAGAUCCUAUAAUUUUCUCUGAAACUAGACUUAUAUUCCUUCUUACCAUAAAAAUUUCAUAAUUUUUGGUUGGGCCAAUUAAUACAGUUUAUUUAUUAAAGUAUCCCCUGUUCUGCUGUCUGACAGUUCCGACCCUUCUUCACUAAAAAUUAAUUAUCUUCUUGUACAGAAUUAAAAUGAUGUCUUCAUUUGUUUCUAUUGAAAAUAAACUCAUUCAGGAUUCUAAAAAUAUAAAUUUAAGCCCCUAAUCAUUUUUAUCCAAUUUUUUAUGAUUUUCCAAAGUCAGAACAGGGGAACUCGAAAUCAUUUUGACCUUAUCUCACAAAAGUUAUUAUAUCUCAUAAUUUACAAUUCAAUUGCUUAUAUAGUUUCUUUCAUAAGAAACUAGACUCAAUAAGAUUUAAUUCCAUAUUUUAUUCAUCCUCUAAUUCAAUUUCUACAUUUUUUUGUGAUUUUUCAAACUUAAACUACUGCUGCUGUCCAAAAUAGUCUUAGUGCAAAAUGUUGAUUUUCUACUUUUAAUUUCAAUUUAAUCCUAACUAAAUUCACUUACUUUUCUAUCUUAAUUCAUACUUUGCUUCUACUCAAUUUUUAACCAAACUUACACAUAAUUAUCUAUUUUUCAUCAUAAAAUCAUAAUUUCGAAAUUCUUUCAAUUUAGUCCUUAAAGCAUAAAACUUAUGAAUCACUUUACAAUUCAAUCCUUAUUUCAUUUCUAACUUGAAUUUCUAUCAAUUUAGCCCUUAAUUCAUCUUUUUUGUUCAAUAAGAACAAUGUCUUAUAAUCAACUAUCUUACAAUAAAUCAACUUAACUUCAUCAAAACCUUGUUCUAAAGUUUCUAAAACAUCAAAAUUAAGUAAAAAGGGCUAAAUUGACAUACCUAUUUAAAUCUCAAGCUUCAAACCUUGAAUUUUCCCUUUCUUCUUUCUUUUCUCCUUUCUUUCUUUCUUUCCCUGCUUUUCGUUUUGCCUAUUCUGUUU
rnacentral:lncRNA from 1 species